rnacentral:rRNA from 1 species
UACGUAGGGCGCAAGCGUUAUCCGGAAUUAUUGGGCGUAAAGAGCUCGUAGGCGGUUUGUCGCGUCUGCCGUGAAGGUCCGGGGCUCAACUCCGGAUCUGCGGUGGGUACGGGCAGACUAGAGUGAUGUAGGGGAGACUGGAAUUCCUGGUGUAGCGGUGAAAUGCGCAGAUAUCAGGAGGAACACCGAUGGCGAAGGCAGGUCUCUGGGCAUUAACUGACGCUGAGGAGCGAAAGCAUGGGGAGCGAACAGG